AAGGGAGACCUACUUGCUUCUAGUACCAGAAAAAUCAAACCAGGUAAGAAGACAAGACAUCCCAAGGUCGUGCGAGAAUUGGUGGGAAAAAGCUUUCAAACUAUGAAAUGGUUCGGAAUGGGGGCUAUUAGCUCAGGUGGUUAGAGCGCACCCCUGAUAAGGGUGAGGUCCCUGGUUCGAGUCCAGGAUGGCCCACCUUGAAACAACCAGCAACUUUGAAAACACAACAGCACCGUCUCUUGUUAAAAUAAAACUUGAAGAACAAGAGAGAAUGCUGGAUGUUUUUCCAGUAAUGAACCUUGAAAACUGCAUAGUUAAGAGAAACAACUUGUAGGUAGAACAAUCAAGACGAUGACUACAAAAAAAAGUCGUGUGAUUGUCAAUCCAAAGAAUUAGCGCGAAAAAGU
rnacentral:tRNA from 1 species